rfam:Micromonospora aurantiaca ATCC 27029, complete genome.
CUUGACCGACCCGAGCAGCAGCGGUGCGGCCUCGUCGCGGUCCUGCCCGUACGUGGCCAGCAGCGCCUGCGCCUC